UACGUAGGUGGCAAGCGUUGUCCGGAUUUACUGGGCGUAAAGAGCGCGCAGGCGGUCGUUCAAGUCGCGUGUGAAAGCCCCCGGCUCAACUGGGGAGGGUCACGCGAUACUGAUCGACUCGAAGGCAGGAGAGGGUAGUGGAAUUCCCGGUGUAGUGGUGAAAUGCGUAGAUAUCAGGAGGAACACCGGUGGCGAAGGCGGGUCUCUGGGCAACAACUGACGCUGAGGAGCGAAAGCGUGGGGAGCGAACAGG
rnacentral:rRNA from 1 species